GCUUAACCGAGAUCGUGCGUCUGAAACUGUCGAGACUAGAAUCACUGAGAGGGAAAGUCAGAAUUCCCAGGUGUAGAGGUGAAAUCUGUAGAUAUCAUGGAGGAAUACCGGUGGCGAAGGCGGAUUCUGGCAGAUGAUUGACGCUGAGGUGCGAGAGUGCGGGGAGCAAACAGGAUUAGAUACCCUGGUAGUCCGCACGGUAAACGAUGUGCACUAGGUGUUGGAACGGAUGUUUCAGUGCCGGAGUUAACGUGUUAAGUGCACCGCCUGCGGAGUAUGCCCGCAAGGGUGAAACUCAAAGGAAUUGACGGGGGCCCGCACAAGCGGUGGAGCAUGUGGUUUAAUUAGAUGGUACGCGAGGAACCUUACUUGGGCUUGACAUAUGGUCGAAUGCAUCAGAGAUGAUGCAGCGUAGCAAUACGUCGCCAUACAGGUGCUGCAUGGCUGUCGUCAGCUCGUGCCGUGAGGUGUUGGGUUAAGUCCCGCAACGAGCGCAACCCCUACUGCCAGUUACUAACAGGUAAAGAUGAGGACUCUGGCGGAACUGCCGGUGACAAACCGGAGGAAGGUGGGGAGGAGGUCAAGUCAUCAUGGCCCUUAUGUCCAGGGGUACACACGUGUUACAAUGGGCGAUACAGAAAGACGCAAAGCCGCGAGGUAGAGCAAAUCUUUGAAAAUCGCUCGUAGUUCGGAUUGGAGUCUGAAACCCGA
rnacentral:rRNA from 1 species